rnacentral:rRNA from 1 species
CCUACGGGAGGCAGCAGUAGGGAAUUUUCCGCAAUGGGCGAAAGCCUGACGGAGCAAUACCGCGUGAGGGAUGACUGCCUAUGGGUUGUAAACCUCUUUUUCAGGGAGGAAUAAAUGACGUGUACCUGAAGAAUAAGCAUCGGCUAACUCCGUGCCAGCAGCCGCGGUAAGACGGAGGAUGCAAGUGUUAUCCGGAAUCACUGGGCGUAAAGCGUCUGUAGGUGGCUCGACAAGUCAACUGUUAAAUCUUGAAGCUCAACUUCAAAAUCGCAGUCGAAACUAUCGGACUAGAGUAUAGUAGAGGUAAAGGGAAUUUCCAGUGGAGCGGUGAAAUGCGUAGAGAUUGGAAAGAACACCGAUGGCGAAGGCACUUUACUGGGCUAUUACUGACACUCAGAGACGAAAGCUAGGGUAGCAAAUGGGAUUAGGUACCCCAGUAGUCCUAGCCGUAAACAAUGGAUACUAGGUGUUGAACAGAUCGACCUGUGCAGUACCAAAGCUAACGCGUUAAGUAUCCCGCCUGGGAAGUAUGCACGCAGUAGUAGAACGUAAAGUAAGUAGACGGCGNGAGACGAGACGACGGACGACGACGAGGGAGGAGG